GGGUAAAUAGCUCAGUGGUGGAGUGUGUGCUUAGCAUGCAUGAGGUCUUGGGUUCAAUCCUCAGUACCCCCG
rnacentral:tRNA from 1 species